GGCCAUUCCAUGCUGAAAGCAUCGAUUCUCGUCCGAUCACCAAAGUUAAGCAUUAUCGGACGCGGUUAGAGUUUGUGAGGGUGAUCACCUGGGAAUCACCGUGU